GCCAGCAGCCGCGGCUAAUACGUAGGUGGCAAGCGUUAUCCGGAAUUAUUGGGCGUAAAGCGCGCGUAGGCGGGUUUUUUAAGUCUGAUGUGAAAGCCCACGGCUCAACCGUGGAGGGUCAUUGGAAACUGAAAAACUUGAGUGCAGAAGAGGAAAGUGGAAUUCCAUGUGUAGCGGUGAAAUGCGCAGAGAUAUGGAGGAACACCAGUGGCGAAGGCGACUUUCUGGUCUGUAACUGACGCUGAUGUKCGAAAGCGUGGGGAUCAAACAGGAUUAGAUACCCUGGUAGUCCACGCCGUAAACGAUGAGUGCUAAGUGUUAGGGGGUUUCCGCCCCUUAGUGCUGCAGCUAACGCAUUAAGCACUCCGCCUGGGGAGUACGGCCGCAAGGCUUAAACUCAAAGGAAUUGACGGGGACCCGCACAAGCGGUGGAGCAUGUGGUUUAAUUCGAAGCAACGCGAAGAACCUUACCAAAUCUUGACAUCCUUUGACAGCUCUAGAGAUAGAGUCCUUCCCCUUCGGGGGACAAAGUGACAGGUGGUGCAUGGUUGUCGUCAGCUCGUGUCGUGAGAUGUUGGGUUAAGUCCCGCAACGAGCGCAACCCUUAAGCUUAGUUGCCAUCAUUCAGUUGGGCACUCUAAGUUGACUGCCGGUGACAAACCGGAGGAAGGUGGGGAUGACGUCAAAUCAUCAUGCCCCUUAUGAUUUGGGCUACACACGUGCUACAAUGGACAAUACAAAGGGCAGCGAAACCGCGAGGUCAAGCAAAUCCCAUAAAGUUGUUCUCAGUUCGGAUUGUAGUCUGCAACUCGACUACAUGAAGCUGGAAUCGCUAGUAAUCGUAGAUCAGCAUGCUACGGUGAAUACGUUCCCGGGUCUUGUACACACCGCC
rnacentral:rRNA from 1 species